CAAGGGAACAAUUUAUAACACCAUAACUUCAAGUAUUACUCUAAGAUCAAGUAAAACAAAAUCCCUGUCCUUCGUAGAAAAAAUAGAAGUCCUCAUGUUAUCUGUACUGAGCACAGUUAGCCUGGUUGGUACACCAAGGAAAAUCUUAGGAGAGAGUCAUGGUGCAAUAACCAAGCCCUGCAUCCCACGGAACCAAAAAGAAAAAAAAAAUCAUUAUUGUCCGUACUGAAUCUGCAGCUGCCUGCAAUGUGACAU
rnacentral:misc_RNA from 1 species